AUGAAAAUAAUACUACUGAGUGUAUUAACUAUCAGUUUUAAUUCCAGGGCUUUCAGCUUUCCUCUACAAUUGUGCUGUGUUCAUAAUCAAAUUUAUUCUAGUUUGUUUAAACAAAAACAUCACCUUCAUGUUGGACUAGUCAUCAAAAAAAAAAAUCCUGAGCUGAGAAAGCAGAUCAGAAAAGUAAACAUGUUGAUGGAUAGCUUAGUGAUUAAGGUAUUUAAGCCUGCAUUUAUGUAGUUUUGUCCUCCAAUUAGGCUCAUAAAUUAAUUUAAUUUAGUACCAAUCAUCAGUGUAACUCCAUUAAAUAAUGGAGAAAAGUCUUGUCCUCAAAAAGGAAAGCACGAUUUGACCAUUAUCUACAACAAAAUUACUCUUCUAAAGAGUAUUAUUAUGCAACAAAGGUGAACCGCUGCACUGACAUCGACCAAGAUUUGUCAUUGCCGGCUGGCACCGAAAGUGAGCUACAAAGCUUUCACAGAUAUGUUUGGCACCAGACACCAAAAAGCUUACAUUACAGCAGAUAUAAUAAUCAACAGGGAGAAUCUAAUGGCAUUUUAUGUAGUAGCCUUUGAACCAUACUACAGCCUUAGAAUGUGUCGGACCUAAAUUUCUUAAUUGAAACUACACAAUAUGCUCAAAAAAAAAAUCAUUAGUGUCUUUAAUUAGAGCAACUGCUUUAUAAUGAGGAGCCUUGACAGUUUCUGUCUUGCAUAAACCCCUAAAAACUAGAAAACAAACUGGUUUCAGAAAAAGCGCAGCUGAAUUACUAGAGUAACUGACAAGGUGCACUGGCAGGAGUUGAAGAAGAAGUCGUGACUUUUUAAGCACAGUAACAGAUCAGAAGAGAAGUGGGACAGGAACAAGCGUGAACACCUAGUGCAUUCUGAUCAUUACCUCCCGCCACGUAUGUUCUUAACCUUAUUUACGCAGCAGACAAUUUCUGUGUCCUUGCAAGUGGUUCUGUGUGUACACUCAUUGCACCCAAGCUGCUUUUAGUCUUACUAGUACUUCAAAAAUAUUUAAUUUAAAAACAAACUGAAAAAAAAAAAAGUUGAAGUGCUCCAAGGUGUGCCUCUGCCCAUACCUCCCCGCACGGUUAAUUCUGAUUUGUAGCAUGCGCCGUUAAAUAAAAGCCACCUGAGUAAACA
rnacentral:lncRNA from 1 species